UAUGAAUUUCAGAAAUUUAAUCAAGAAUCAGGCGGUGAACCAUAUUUCACUCUGAGCAGACUGCAGGUUAUAACUCGUCAAUGUUUGGAGGCACUGGAAUUCUUGCAUCACUUGGGAAUUAUUCAUUGUGAUCUCAAGCCUGAGAAUAUUCUGAUAAAGAGUUACAGGAGAUGUGAGAUUAAGGUUAUUGAUCUUGGAAGCAGUUGCUUUAAGUCAGACAACUUGUGCCUAUAUGUACAAUCUCGUUCCUACAGAGCCCCUGAAGUCAAUUUGGGUCUUCCAUAUGACCAGAAGAUUGACUUAUGGUCUCUUGGCUGCAUCUUGGCUGAGCUAUGUUCUGGGGAAGUGCUGUUUCCGAAUGAUGCGGUUGUAAUGAUCCUUGCACUUAUGAUUGGGAUGCUGGGCCCUAUUGAUUUGGAGAUGUUGGUGAGGGGGCAGGAGACACACAAGUACUUUACAAAAGAAUACGAUCUCUAUUAUGUAAAUGAGGAAACAAACCAAAUAGAGUACAUUAUCCCAGAGGAGUCCUCAUUGGAGCAUCAUCUGCAGACUUAUGAUGAUGGAUUUAUCGACUUUGUGAGAAGCUUGCUUGAGGUCAAUCCCCUGAGGCGCCCAACUGCAAGGGAGGCACUAGAGCACCCUUGGCUUUCUUAUUCUUAUGAGUCAAAUUCUUACUGAAUUUCUGGAGGAUUUACCACUCUUGUUGGUACAUUUGCGUCUGUUUAUUACACUGUCUUGUGAGCCAGAAAAACUGUGAGCAUAACACUGGAGCACAGGUUUCCAAUAUCAGUUUUGUUUUGAUGUGAAUGCAACCACCCCAGCUUACUGAACUAAGUUGCAUAUACUUGCUUGUUAAUCAACACAUAAUUUAUUCUGUACAGAAGGUUGUUCUGCAUAUUUUUUUGAUCCCAUUGGUAGGGGUUUUUGUAUGUAGCUUGAACGCCGCAGCAUUGAUUGGCAUAAACAGAGGCACAAUAAUAAGAUGU
rnacentral:misc_RNA from 1 species